rnacentral:rRNA from 1 species
AUUGAACGCUGGCGGCAGGCCUAACACAUGCAAGUCGAGCGGGGUUUUCGGACCUAGCGGCGGACGGGUGAGUAAUGCGUAGGAAGCUGCCCGAUAGAGGGGGAUACCAGUUGGAAACGACUGUUAAUACCGCAUAAUGUCUACGGACCAAAGUGUGGGACCUUCGGGCCACAUGCUAUCGGAUGCGCCUACGUGGGAUUAGCUAGUUGGUGAGGUAAUGGCUCACCAAGGCGACGAUCUCUAGCUGGUUUGAGAGGACGAGCAGCCACACUGGAACUGAGACACGGGCCAGACUCCUACGGGAGGCAGCAGUGGGGAAUAUUGGACACUGGGGGGAACCCUGAUCCAGCGAUGCCGCGUGUGUGAAGAAGGCCUGAGGGUUGUAAAGCACUUUUAGUGGGGAGGAGGGUUUAUAGGUUAAGAGCUAAUGAACUGGACGUUACUCACAGAAAAAGCACCGGCUAACUCCGUGCCAGCAGCCGCCGUAAUAC